rnacentral:rRNA from 1 species
UACGUAGGUGGCAAGCGUUGUCCGGAAUUAUUGGGCGUAAAGCGCGCGCAGGCGGUCCUUUAAGUCUGAUGUGAAAGCCCACGGCUCAACCGUGGAGGGUCAUUGGAAACUGGGGGACUUGAGUGCAGGAGAGAAGAGUGGAAUUCCACGUGUAGCGGUGAAAUGCGUAGAUAUCAGGAGGAACACCUGUGGUGUAGACGGCUCUCUGGACAGUAACUGACGCUGAGACACGAAAGCGUGGGUAGCAAACAGG